CUUUGGUGUGUGAAAAUUUUGAGUAAAUUUAGGGUUUUCACUAUUAAUUCACAAAUUCAUCAUGGUUUGAAGGUUUUGAUCCAUACCAUCUGAAAAGAGUUGAAAGGAGAAGAAAUUGACUACAUAAGGUAAUGGACACUAAGUACGUAAAUUUGAGGUUUCACAUCAGUGGUAUACUUGUGAGUGAGGUAGGACCUGUUUAUAUUGGGGGCAAAAAAGAAUAUGCCUUCAAUGUUGAUA